rnacentral:telomerase_RNA from 1 species
CACUCGAAAACUGCGAGUUUGUAGGCUACAGCUCGUGGGUGUGGGCAUUUUGCUGGCACCCUUAACCCUAAACCGCUCUCAUGUUCCCAGUACAUGGCGUUGCAAGGAGAGUUUUCCCAGUUGCUUACUCCUGAAACCAAAGCACUGAUGCCUGAGUCUCGCAGCCUGGUCUAACGAUUCUGCCUGUGGGGUGAAGGUGUUUCGGCAUGCUUCACGAGUCCCGGGCGUCGGGUCGCCUCCUUUUACU